UACGUAGGGUGCGAGCGUUAAUCGGAAUUACUGGGCGUAAAGCGUGCGCAGGCGGUUCGUUGUGUCGGCGGUGAAAGCCCCGGGCUUAACCUGGGAAUGGCCGUCGAAACUGGCGAACUGGAGUGUGGCAGAGGGGGGUGGAAUUCCGCGUGUAGCAGUGAAAUGCGUAGAGAUGCGGAGGAACACCGAUGGCGAAGGCAGCCCCCUGGGCUAACACUGACGCUCAGGCACGAAAGCGUGGGGAGCAAACAGG
rnacentral:rRNA from 1 species